AAAUCACGAAACCGUUUCCUUUCAUCUCGCGAACAAAUGAGUGGAUAUCGUCUUCAUCUUGCAACAAGUUUCAGAUCCGAUCUUCAUCUUUUCGUCUUCCGUUCAAUCAACGCGUUAUUCAAACAGAUCUGUUCAUGAUCUACGUUCUGAUGCGGUUGUUUUAUGUUUUUACGGAUCGAUUUGUGGCGAUUUUGCAGGAUGCCUAGGGUUUUGACGCGAGAUUUUGACGUUUUUUUGUUGAUCUACCUUUGAUCGGCGGUAACUGGAUUGUUUGGCGUCGAUUUGGUUAUCAACAUCUCAGAUCUGCAGUCUCUUGACGGCGUGUACGGUGUGGAAGGUUUUCUGGCAUCCGGUGACUUCCUUUCUGCUGUGUUUUGUUGUGAUGAAAUGUUGAUGACCUUGAUUGAUUUGAUUGACCUUCAGACUUGUCGGAUUUACCUUGUUCUGGAACUUGAUGUUGAUGUAUAGCUGAGAAGUAACGUACGAUUAUUGGCACCCAGGUUUGUAUGUAAUCGGAAGUAACGGAUCUCGAUUUAUGUAGGGAUCCUGUAUGUCCUAUUACACCUUGUUACUUUGACCUUUGCCAUGUUGGGUGCGCUCGCAUGGCAGGUCGCCUAUCUUAAUAAAAAAAUCCUAUUUUUGUUUUGGGGAGAGGUCGCACGGGGUUGCCCGGGAUCUCUCCUCUGGUGUGCGCCUGUUUCUGUGUGUGUGUGUGUGUGUAUAUCUAUUGGAUGCCUAGCACUGCUCAAAUCCUCUCUACAGUUCGAAUAGUGGCAACAUCAACAACAAUUAUUCAACAUACGCUAUCAAAACUAACAUAUUCCUCGUUAUCACUUGAAGGUACUUUCAUCCAACUGCUUAUCAUGGUAGUAUACAAUUUAAAGCACAAUUCAUGUUUAUAGUUGGUCCAUCUUGAUGAGUUUAAUCUAAAGCGAAUAUAUAUUCUUGUUUCCCCAUAUUCUAGUCGUCUCAUUUAUGGGUGAGCAUACUGGGUCGGUUUAUGAAAGGCAUAAAACUAGAUCUUGUUUGCAUCAAUGAGCAAAAAUUUUCAAUUGCCUUACAAUUCGUUGAAAAGAUUUUUUUCAAUACAAGUGAACAUUGACUUAUAUUGGCAACACGUUUUUCCUAAAGAAAUAACUUUUUUUGAGUUCUCUACAUAUCUGUGUUUUUUUAAGUUUGUACUCAUUGGUCCUGAAAUUUGGUCAUUGGCAUCAACGUUUAUAUGUGCACGGUGUGUAAUCGGAUAUAACAGGUCUUGUUGUUAGUAGGGGUCCUUUAUGUCUUAUCGCACCUUGUUAUUUGACCUUUGCCAUGUAGGGUGCGAUCUCAUGGCAGGUCCCCUAUUCUAAUAAAAGAUUGUACUUUUGUUGAGAGAGGUCGCACGGGGUGGCCCGGGAUCUCACCUCUGGUGUGUGUGUUUUGUUUCUCCAUUGGCUCUCUAGCAGUGUUCAAAUCAUCCCAACAGUUCAAUUAGAGACAACAUCAACAGUUACACAAUAUGGUGUCAAAAUUAACAAUUUCAAGAUCGUCGCUUGAAGAUACUUUUGUGCAGUUGAAUGUCAUGGUAUUAUACAUUUUAUAACACAGUUGAUGUCUAUAACUGGUCAGCAACAUUUAAAAUUUUUAUAGAUGUCUACGACUGUUCAUCUGAUGUUCAAUUAUUCCAAAAGUCUUUAUUGAGCUUAAGCACUGAAUUGCAUCAGUGUGCAAGAAAUUUUAACUGUUUCUGUCGGUACACAAUGACAUACUUUGAGGCUACAAUUCUUUCUAAAAGAUAACGCUUUUCAAGUAUUCUUCGUUCGUAGUGCUGUCAAGUCUACUUUAUCGGAUAGUCAUUCAUGAAGUACCAUAAUUCAAGGAUGGUAGUACGUCAAUGUGCGAAGCAACUAACGCGUUUACGAACUUGCAAACUGAAUACGGUAUCAUCAUUUUAAACUAGACUUUACACUUUACAAUGGUAAUUAUUCCAAUUCAGUUUAUAAUCUAUUAAUACUUGUAGUUUUCUUGUGAUAAUUUACGCAUCAAGUUGAUUUACGACGAUUAUUUUUGCAUUUGCGAGGCUUCUUUUGAAAGAGCAUUAGUUACUCCUCCAGGAUGUAGUUUUUGCUAGAUGAGAAACUUGAAUCAAGUAGGUGAAUUUUAAUUUAUGUACUGUUGGAGUAGUGUUGUAUUGGAGGCUAAAAUUUGUAUAAUUUGAGCCUUGUAUUUGAUUUCGGAGUUGGUCUUGCUGAUGCUCUGUUUCUUGUGGACUACGAUUUAAGUUUAUGAUCUCUGUCAAGAAUCUGGAACAUCUUUUGAAGCUUGACACGGUACCCGAAGAUGGUUGUUUUUUUGGUUUCGUGGAGCUGAUCCUGCUGCUGCCCUGGUGAUUAAGUGUCUACGUCGACUGGCUAUCUAUAAGUUGGCUGUUUCUUGCUGUUCUGUAGUCAACUUUCUUCUGCUGCCUGCACCAGUUAUAUCAAAGCUGCUUUGCUGUUGAACUGUCUAAUGCUAUUUGCUCGUUGCCUAGUCGUUCGUCAUUUACAAAUUAAGUUCACUGCUGUGGUCUCAAGUUUCUGGCACUGACGUUAUGAUGGUUGAACAUGAAUAGCAAGUUCCUGAAUAUCGAUGAUUGAGUUGAACCCACCCACGGUUUCUUUUCGUCCAGGUAAAGCACAAUUGAAGGUCAUGUUUUUGUAAUUAGUUUUGUGAUUAUGAAGUUGGUCACAGGUUUGCGUUGCUAGACUCUGUAGGGUUUGAUGGAAUAACAUCAAAUCCUGGUGGUUCCUAAUGCAUAUCUUGCGCUGCAAUGGUUCAUUGAGCCCCCACUUUGAAAAUCUGAUGCUUGGAUGUGUUAGUUUUGGUGGUUCUGAUUGCUGCUGAACCUUAUUUGUCACAGCUGUUUGGUCACGUUGGUCGUCGUUCCCAGUAUAGUGGACCACAAGAUGUUCUAUGAUUGCUGGUGCUGGCGUUCAAUGGAAUUUCAAAGGAGCAAUUUCGUUAUGCAGUUUGAAAAAAUAACUGAGUUCAGAUGUGUGUUGUUUUUAAAUACAGGUGUUACCAUUAUCACCGAUUUUUUGAGAUGAUCUUUUUAUUGCUUUUUUAAAAUUCUAAUGGUUAGAGCUUGGACUGCCUUGCUAAACAUAAAUAGUUUUGAGAUGGGCUUUGUUUCAAGCUUAACUGCAAAGCUUGAGCGGAAUCUCAUUUUGAAGUACUUAAAAAUCUUGUGUGUACUUAUUUAUAAUUAUAAUUAUAGAGUUAUUUUAUGUAAA